UACGUAGGGUGCGAGCGUUGUCCGGAAUUAUUGGGCGUAAAGAGCUCGUAGGCGGUUUGUCACGUCUGCUGUGAAAUCCCGAGGCUCAACCUCGGGCCUGCAGUGGGUACGGGCAGACUGGAGUGCGGUAGGGGGAGAAUGGAAUUCCUGGUGUAGCGGUGGAAUGCGCAGAUAUCAGGAGGAACACCGAUGGCGAAGCAGCUUCUUGGACGGGUACUGACGCUGAGACGCGAAAGCGUGGGGAGCGAACAGG
rnacentral:rRNA from 1 species